rnacentral:misc_RNA from 1 species
AACGGUCUAUACCUGCGGUACCUGCGGAGGGAUCAUUAACGAGUGUAACUUACCCUUUUUUUUAAAAGAGGGUAGUACCUCCUGUCCUUUGUAGGCCCCUUUUUAUUGGGGGGCUUUUUAAGACUUUCUGCUUCGGCGGGGUUAUUCCCGCCGGAACACCCUCAAAAAACUCUUCAAAAACUAAUUCAGUCCGAGAAUUUUUGAAAAUAAAAAAAACUUUUAACAACGGAUCUCUAGAUC